UGUCGUUGCGGGAACCACUAUGUUCAGAAUGUGAAAUAUUUUAAUUUUGUUCCAAACUUUAAAGGUGGUACAGUCAGCAACAUAUACAUCAGUGAAGAUACUUGAAAAGGAAGACAGUUAAAGCAAACACUAGGCUUGCCUGAUUUCCCUUCAGUUUGCAGUUCUACAAAUAAUUGCAACCUGUGGCAGGUGCAUCCUGUUGAUUAGUAAAUAUUUUCCACACAAUUUCUGUUUAAAAUUCAGCUAUUAAUAAAAAUAGGUACUUUUGUAAUGGCUGCUUCUUGAAUGUCAUUAGGGAAACUAGUCAUUGAUGUCCCAGACAGACUCAAUGGAAAGUUCCUUAAUCUGAACAACAGCCAAAGUCAUUCAUUAUUCCAUUUCAUUAAAGAGCUCUCUCCGGUAAGGUAAUUUUAAAAUCCCAAGGUAGCCGGUGAUUUAGGAAAUGUAGAUUUCUUGGCAGAAAUUGGGAAGGAGGGGAUACCUUAACCUCAUUUUACUGGGACUUGGAGGUCUUGUAUUCAUCAAAGGAUUGUGGUGUGAAAAAAUUGUCACCUUAAAAUGCUUCCUUAGCUUGGUUCCAUGUGCUGGAUGGGUGUUUAAUAAGAGAAUGAGUUCUUUUCUUUGCUGUUAACGAUUGUGUGACUGGUGAGUUGCUGAACCCCUUUGGCUCUGCAGUGUUCCCUUAUGAAUAGUAGAGGGUGUCUACUAUCAUUUCUCCCACUAACAAGCUCUGGUUCUAGCAGCCUAGAGAUCUGGAUGGUGGUGAGACCGAAGGCAGGGAAGAGAUGAAGAUGCCCACUGGUCCUGGUGUCCCCAGUGAUUAUGUUAGUGGUGUGUGAGCCUCCUAAAACCACAGAAAUGCUUAUAUUUCAUAACUUUAAUUUUAAUGUAGUUAAGGGCUAGAGAUCACAGACAUUUUACAGUAUGACAUAAUAACUUACAUUUUGUCUGAAGGAAAUGCUGUAGCCACAUGGGCUUUGAAAGCCAUUAAAAAUUUUCAAGCAUUUCUCCCAGACUGCAAAAAAAUAUAUUCUGGUAUACAAUGUGGAAAAAUAUAAACCACAUAUAUACUACUAAUUUGGGGGCACAUAUCUAGAGUGAAUGUUUAAUACUUUAUAAAUGCUGUGUUGCUAGGGUUCUGC
rnacentral:lncRNA from 1 species